rnacentral:tRNA from 1 species
GCCCCGAUAGGGUAGUGGAUAUCCUUGAAGAUUGCGGAUCUUUAGACCUGGGUUCAAAUCCCAGCCGGGGCG